GCCUACGGGCCGCAGCAGUGGGGAAUAUUGCACAAUGGGGGAAACCCUGAUGCAGCGACGCCGCGUGAGUGAGGAAGUAUUUCGGUAUGUAAAGCUCUAUCAGCAGGGAAGAAAAUGACGGUACCUGACUAAGAAGCCCCGGCUAACUACGUGCCAGCAGCCGCGGUAAUACGUAGGGGGCAAGCGUUAUCCGGAUUUACUGGGUGUAAAGGGAGCGUAGGUGGCAAGGCAAGUCAGAUGUGAAAACCCGGGGCCGAACCCCGGGAGUGCAUUUGAAACUGUCUGGCUAGAGUGAAGGAGAGGUA
rnacentral:rRNA from 1 species